rnacentral:tmRNA from 1 species
GGGGGCGACCUGGCUUCGACGUGGGUUGCGAAACCUGAAGUGCAUGCCGAGAAUGAGAACUCUCGUAAAUCAGACUCACUAAAUAUAAAUGCAAACGAAGAAAACUUUGCAGGUGAAGGAGAAGUUUCUAUCGCUGCGUAAGCUGUGAUAGAUUUUUUUCUGAACCGCACCGUGCGCUGCUAUAAAACCAGCGCCCCGUUGACCGAGCUCGCUUAUCGGUAUCGAAUCAACGGUCAUAAGAGAUAAGCUCGCAUCUUGAUACGUCCCGCAUCAAGCUGUUAAAUCCAGGGAAUCGCCGUAAACCAUCCUGCCUGUCGGAGGGGCUACGGUUAACUUAAAAGACAAGGCUACGCAUGUAGAGCUGAAGGCAGAGGAUUUGCGGACGCGGGUUCAAUUCCCGCCGCCUCCACCA